GAAACAUUCUGUGAACAGAGAUAACUACGUUAUAAAACAGAAAGUUUUAUAGGAGAGGGUAAAUAAAAUGCUGCCAGGUUUCAGAGGAGGGAGGAGUAAUUUCCUGCUAGGUAUCAAAGAAGGCUCUCUGGUGGAUGUGGCAUUAGCUCUACAAAUCUGUAAUAUAGCAUCUUGAGAAUCCAGGUUCUGCAGCACCCCCAGCACCACCUUUUCCCUCCUCCAUAAUGUGGUCCUUUCUUCUCCUCCUCUUUCUCCUACCCAGUAUCACCCAUCUUUUUUGUCAAACUGAGAUCUUGUAUUUUGGGGGGAGCUCCUCUGAGAAAAACACAAGAUUUUCUACAUAGAGGUAGGUUCAUGUGGUUCGAAAUAUUAUUAGAAAUCACACCUAUCCAUCUGGAAGUGUGUGGUUAUAGACACAGAAGAAUCUCAGAGAACAGUAGGCUGGUAGUGGGCUGGUACCUUGGAGGACCAACCAUGGAUAAAGGCCUAAAAGAUCCUCUUGGCAGCAAGAAGAAAAAGAAAUCAAAGAGCCAGGCUUGCUGAUAUGGACAUGCCAUCAGUGAUAGCUGGUUCUUGCAAGAGUUGGGGAUGAAGCCUGGGGAAGUUGCCCUUAACCCCAGGGGUGAGAUUGUGGAUGUCUGCUGGGAUUACCAUAGUACACUGCAUAUCACCUUCCUUGUAUGUGUUCCUGGCACUUCUCUGUGGCAUGGUUCCUCUCAUCCACCUUUUCCUUCUGAGAUACCUCAUCCUGCAGCUGGAAGGAGUUUCUUAGGACAACCUGAAGACACAGCAAGUGGUUCAGAGAUGUUCCACAAGGGGACCCAGGUUCCCAGGGAAGAGAAGGGGGGAAGACACAACUCCCAGAAGGCGAUGGAUAGGGAAAUGCAGGGCCACGAGAAAAUUAACAGAAGAGAGGCCACAUUCCCUCUUCCCAGGCUGGCCCAGUGUGAUUUCCUGACUCACCUGCCCUCUGGCUUCCCUACCAAUUGGUCUAGUUGGAGGCAGUGUUGGAAGAUCAGAGGGUGAGAAGAUGGGAGAAUGGAAAGCACAUCACUCUGUCCCUGGACGUCUCCAGCACUCAUAGUGUCUCCUUCUUGCUCUGGUUCCAGGGGGUGCUCUUCCCUGGGCAACUCCUUCUGGGGGCACCCCUCGGUCUAGAAGGCCUUCUCCACUUUCUGUCACAUGUGUUACUAAUUGCCAUAUUAAACAUCAUCCUUCUGAGAUGUGUAGCGUGAGUUCUGCUUUUUUGACUAGAUCUUGAAUCUC
rnacentral:lncRNA from 1 species